ACCGGAACUGCUGUACCACGAACCAGGCAGAAACGAUGAUGAUGAGCGGGGAUUUGCAGUAGCACAACUUUGUGGAGCAGCAAGGACGCUCCGUUCAAAACAAAAAUGGCGUUCAGCAAGUCGAACCAUGCACCGGUCAGCGUCGGUGCAUGGUGCUUUCGAUCGAGUUGGCUCAAGGAGUGUCCGAAAAAUUAGACGAGAGGUUGCAAGGUGUCCGAACUUUCGGCAGUUGUUAUACAUUAUGGUCUAUGGGGAGAAUGGCGGUGCAGCGAAGCAGACCGAAUAAUCGAGCAUGUCCGAGUUUUUGGAGUCCGAAAAAUUAGUCAGCGACUGUAUAAACAAAAACAGUGCCAUGAACUAAUCAAAUCAGGACAUUUGACACGCUCGACUCUAGGAGCCCUAUCGCGAAAGGUUUCAAGUCUCCACGCCGACCAUCUACCUUACACUACCAGAAGGAGUUCAUGGAACUAGCUGGGAGAGAACUGAUGGGGCUUGCGACUGGGGUCAAGAAAGCCAGUGGUCGAGGACAGACGAAGAAUGUCAGUCAUUUAUCUGGUGUUCACACUAGAGAGUGUAUCCCAGCUAUCAACAAAAAUCUUCAACAAAGAGCUGUGCAGGUACAUCUGCACCAGCCACUUAAACCAGGACCCACUCGAAAUGUAUUUCAGUUGCAUCAGACAGCGAGGUGGAUGGAACAGUAACCCAUCAGUAUUACAGUUCCAACAUGCUUACCAUAAAACGCUUGUCCAUGCAGUCAUCGCAUGUUCAAGAAACGCCAAUGCAACUCCACAGCUGGAGGAUAUCUGCCUGCCCAGGUGUCAGGCACAUGCCAGUGGCUUGCUCACUGCACAAAUCAAUGACGACGGCAAUGCAAGCAACACUGCACACUGCAGCACUGGGCAACCAACAACCACACUCACAGAAGAUGCAAUCGAUUGUGAUUGCUUUGCUUUAAACGAAUACUUGGGAGAAGUAGUGCAGUACAUUGGUGGUUUUGUAGUUAGAAGCAUAACAAAGAACCUCUCUUGUGCAGAGUGCACUGCUCUGCUUGUGUGUGACCCCGUGCACAGCUUGUUGACAACUCUGAAAGACAAUGGUGGCCUUAUUGAACCUUCAAAAUUUGUGCACACUGCAUUACAUGCUUCUGAGUGCAUCAUGCGUCAGCACACUGAUGUGCACAAAGAAAGCAUUGAGACAUUCACACUCGAGGCAUUUCAAGAGUUUGCUAACCGAAAUAGCAACAUGCUUCAGCAAAUACGCCAUUACCAUGAAGAACCACAACACAUUAUCAACCUUACAAAAGUGCUGCAGGCCAAAUAUGUAACACUGCCACUGCAAGCUAUUGGCCAACGAAUCACUGAACAGAGCAGAGGGGCAUACAUAAGGCAUAUAAUGACAAAAUAUGUACUGUUCCUGCAUCAGCAGGAGCGUGUGUAAGCAUGCUCAAAACAUCAGUGGCUGCGAGCGCCGGCUGUACACUGUUUGAGUAAUGCUAUUGAGAGGACACAGAUAGCGAAAGGAUAUAGGACUAACAAAAUCAAAGGUACUUAACAUGGCUGUCUCAUACAGGCCAUGAUCAGUAGUGCUGUGAACAAUGUAGUGUUCAGCAUGAUGUGUUCACAAACAGCAAUGUGCCAGACAACUUUAAGGUGCAUGCAUAGUGCAUACUGAAGUUAAACCACCGGUGCCUUACUGUAGGUGGUAAUAAAUGCAGGCCAAGUGUCGGUUUCACACUGGUGGAACAGGGCAGAUAUGACCAGUGUGCAAGUUACACAUAAGCUGCCACUUCAAUGAUCAGCCUCGCACAUAAAUGUAUAGACAACACAAUGAUAACCCCUCCUUUCAUGCUAAAUGGAUGAUGAGCGACUAGCUAGCCUGCCUCUCCAGUGUUGCUAUGUUCAUGUAACUAUGGAAUGCCAAGAAACACGCAGACAAUGUGCAAAACUUACCUAUCAGUUGCAGAUCUCAUCAUGCUGAACAGCAUAAGGCAAUGGUGCGAGGAGUGUGGAUUUUCUUAUGAAGAUGGUUAUUGAACUCAUCCAGUUAUCACCCCAUACUCUCAAAGGGGAGGGCAUGAGUCAAACCGUGGCCACUGAAGGCUUACUAGGUUGGUGCUCUACGUUUCCAUGCUUACGCAGUAAUGGAGCUGUCAGUCUGGUAUAGUGAAUUCUGCACCAUUGAAAUGCACAAAAUGAAUUAUUUCUUUAACUUUGCUUUUUGUUUUGGAGACAACAAUUUUGCAAAAACCUACAUUCUGCUGUGACACAUGACACCACAUGAUACAUGACAUGAUUGUAUGUCUGGUACAGUGCUUUUUAGGGUUUAGUAAUGCUAAAUGUGUAUCGUCUCCAUUGCUGAUGGGUGGCAAGAGCCCAGUCAAGCUGCAGUGUAACAGCUUUUUCUUCGGCCACCUUUUUUGCCUUGUAAAGUUGCGAAAUAAAGUUGCUUUGAUUGAUUGA